rnacentral:rRNA from 1 species
GACGAACGCUGGCGGCGUGCCUAAUACAUGCAAGUAGGACGCAGUUGCGAACGGGUGAGUAACGCGUAGGUAACUGCCUAUUAGAGGGGGAUAACUAUUGGAAACGAUAGCUAAUACCGCAUACUUGUAGAUGGACCUGCGUUGUAUUAGCGAGUAGGUAGGGUAAUGGCCUACUUAGGCGACGAUACAUAGCCGACCGGAGAGGGUGAUCGGCCACACUGGAACUGAGACACGGCCCAGACUCCUACGGGAGGCAGCAGUGGGGAAUCUUCUGCAAUGGGUGAACUCUGACCGAGCAACGCCGCGUGAGUGGAGAAGGGUUUCGGAUGGUAAAGCUCUGUUGUUAAGGAAGCGGUACUUAACCAGAAAGGGACGGCUAACUACGUGCCAGCAGCCGCGGUAAUUC